AUGCUUGCUUGGUCAGUGCAUAUAGUAAAAUUGAAAUGAUACAGAGAGCAGCAUGGCCCCUAAAGGGAUGACAUGCAGAUUCACUAGCUGUUCCAUAUUUUU
rnacentral:snRNA from 1 species